GAAUGUUGGACAAUGGGCGAAAGCCUGAUCCAGCAAUGCCGCGUGCUGGAUGAAGGCCUUCGUGUUGUAAACUGCUUUUGUACGGUACGGAAAGCUUUGUGUUAAUACCCUUGUGUCCUGUAUGUACCGGAAGAAUAUGCACCGGCUACCGCAGUCCCGGCAGCCGCGGUAAUACGUAGGUUGCAAGCGUUAAUCGGAAUUCCUGGGCGUAAAGCGUGCGCAGGCGGUUGUGUAAGACAGAGGUGAAAUCCCCGGGCUCAACCGGAGAACUGCAUUUGUGACUGCAAGGCUAGAGUACGGCAGAGGGGGGUGGAAUUCCGCGUGUAGCAGUGAAAUGCGUAGAUAUGAGGAGGAACUCCGAUGGCGAAGGCAACCCCCUGGGCUUGUACUGACGCUCAUGCACGAAAGCGUGGGGAGCAAACA
rnacentral:rRNA from 1 species